GACGAACGCUGGCGGCGUGCUUAACACAUGCAAGUCGAACGGUGAAGCGCCUUCCUUUUUGGUGGGUGUGGAUGAGUGGCGAACGGGUGAGUAACACGUGAGUAACCUGCCCCCUUCUUCUGGAUAACCGCAUGAAAGUGUGGCUAAUACGGGAUAUUCUGGGUCUGUCGCAUGAUGGGUCUGGGAAAGAUAUUGUUUCGGUGGGGGAUGGGCUCGCGGCCUAUCAGCUUGUUGGUGGGGUGAUGGCCUACCAAGGCGGUGAGGGGUAGCCGGCCUGAGAGGGUGGACGGUCACACUGGGACUGCGACCAGGACGAGACUGCUACGGGGGGCAGCAGUGGGGAAUAUUGAACAAUGGGCGCAAGUCUGAUGCAGCGACGCCGCGGGAGGGAUGGAGGCCUGCGGGUUGUGAACCUCUUUCGCCAGUGAAGCAGGCCUGCCUCGUUUGUGGGUGGGUUGACGGUAGCUGGAUAAGAAGCGCCGGCUAACUACGUG
rnacentral:rRNA from 1 species